rnacentral:lncRNA from 1 species
CUUUAUUUAUUGUAAUGCCAAGAUUUAUUCCAAUGGCUAAAUUUUACAAUAACAAGCUUCAAACUUACACAAACAACCCACACAACUACGAACAUAUUAAAACCAACAACACCCCCAAACACUUAUAAAAAAGAUCAAACAACAACAGGUUCAACCGGCUUUUCAACCGGUUCCACCGGUUUCUCCACCUCAGCAGAUGGUGCAAUAACAGGCUCCACCGGUUUUGCAGCUUCACUAACUGGUUUUCCGGCGACACAAGAUGGUGUUGCCGCCACAGGGACAGGGUCCACCGUUUCUCCGGCUUCACUAGAUGGUGCAGCAACAACAGCCUCCUCUGAUUUCUUCCCUCCACAACAUGACG